GACCGCGUAGCUCAGUUGGCAGGCAGAGCAUUGGGCUAGCAUUCCAAAGGUCGUAGGUUCGAUUCCCACCGUGGACA